rnacentral:rRNA from 1 species
UACAGAGGGUGCGAGCGUUGUUCGGAAUUAUUGGGCGUAAAGCGCUUGUAGGCGGCACGUCAAGUCGCGUGUGAAAUCCCCAGGCUUAACCUGGGAAGUGCGCGCGAAACUGACGAGCUUGAGUGCCGGAGAGGGUCGCGGAAUUCCCGGUGUAGAGGUGAAAUUCGUAGAUAUCGGGAGGAACACCAGUGGCGAAGGCGGCGACCUGGA